CGCCCGUCGCUCCUACCGAUUGGGUGUGCUGGUGAAGCGUUCGGAUUGGCGUCAAUUGGUGGUUCGCCGCCGGCUGUCGCUGAGAAGUUCGUUAAACCCUCCCACCGAGAGGAAGGAGAAGUCGUAACAAGGUUUCC
rnacentral:rRNA from 1 species